UCAGACGAUGCGUCAUGCAUAUCAAUAAGCGGAGGAAAAGAAACUAACAAGGAUUCCCCUAGUAACGGCGAGUGAAGCGGGAAGAGCUCAAAUUUGAAAUCUUAAAGGGUUUCCCUUUACGAAUUGUAGUUUAAAGAAGUGUUUUCUGCUGAAGUUUUGGUAAAAGUUCUUUGGAAUAGGACAUCAUAGAGGGUGAGAAUCCCGUAUUUGACCAUUAUUUUCAGCUUUGUGAUACACUUUCAAAGAGUCGGGUUGUUUGGGAAUGCAGCCCAAAACGGGAGGUAAAUUUCUUCUAAGGCUAAAUAUUGGCGAGAGACCGAUAGCGAACAAGUACCGUGAGGGAAAGAUGAAAAGAACUUUGAAAAGAGAGUUAAAUGGUACGUGAAAUUGUCAAAAGGGAAGCGUUUAACACCAGUGUUGUUUUCUGAAAAUCAACCUCUGUUAGCUUUAUGCAUGUUUGUUUAGACCUAAUCAGCUAUCUUGCAUGUUCUAUUGUUUGCAGUGGUGCACUUUUCAGUUUACAGGUCAACAUCAGUUUUUUUUACCGUAAAAAAGUUAAAGAAAGGUAGCUCAUGGCUCCGGUCGUGAGUGUUAUAGUCUUUUUCCUAUGCGGUAGGAGAGACUGAGGUCUGCAGUGUAGGCUAUUUGGCUAGAUACUCAGGUGCUAUGUGAUACCAUUUCAUAAACAACUUGUUGAUUAUGUUUUGUCUAUUGCAUACUCGCUUGUACUAUCAUACCUACGCUUAGGAUGUUGACUGAUAUGUAGUCGUA
rnacentral:rRNA from 1 species